AAGACCGGUGCCAGCCGCCGCGGUAAUACCGGCGGCUCGAGUGGUGGCCGAUAUUAUUGAGUCUAAAGGGUCCGUAGCCGGCUUUGCAAGUCUCUUGGGAAAUCCAGCGGCUUAACCGUUGGGCUUCCGGGGGGUACUACAUUGCUUGGGACUGGGAGAGGUAGGAGGUACUCAGGGGGUAGGGGUGAAAUCCUGUA
rnacentral:rRNA from 1 species